CGGUGAAUACGUUCCCGGACCUUGCACACACCGCCCGUCAAGCCAUGGAAGCUGGGUGUACCCUAAAGUCGGUAACCGUAAGGAGCCGCCUAGGGUAAAACUAGUGACUGGGGCU
rnacentral:rRNA from 1 species